rnacentral:piRNA from 2 species
GCAGCUCCCUCGCUGCGAUCUAUUGA